GACUGAGUUUGGGAGGGUAUAAAUUCGAUCCAACGGGUGAGAUUGCAUAAUCCUAAUCUCUCUCUGUCUCUCUAUUCAAAACCUUUCCGUCGUUGAUGGAUGGCUCGCUGUUCCGUCAAUUUCCGUCUCAUAGCAACAAAAUGUUAGCUCAGUCGCACUUGCUGUGUAACUCCUUGGAUCUGAUUCAGCCACCGUCUCUGGUGUCGCGGUCUACACCAACUUCCUCACUUCGUCUCCCUUCUUCGCCUAGGAGCAGCCGAUUCUCCUUUCUAUCUUCUUCUUCGAGCGCUGCUCCCGUCUCCCGUGGCCGGAUCUCCCAUACAAUGGCUUCCAACUCGAAACGACCUAACCUUAACGAAAAAAUUCCUUCGGAACUGAGCGAAGUCGAGCUAGAUCGAUUCGCCGCUGUGGGAAAUGCACUAGCUGACGCUUCCGGCGAGGUCAUCAGAACGUAUUUCCGGAAGAAAUUCGACAUUGUCGAGAAAGAUGAUAUGAGUCCUGUUACAAUCGCUGAUCAAAUGGCUGAAGAGGCAAUGGUAUCGAUUAUAUUCCAGAAUCUUCCUUCUCAUGCUAUAUAUGGUGAAGAGAAGGGUUGGAGAUGCAAAGAGGAAUCUGCAGACUAUGUUUGGGUUUUGGACCCAAUCGAUGGAACAAAGAGCUUUAUCACAGGGAAACCCGUGUUUGGUACAUUGAUAGCUCUGCUCUACAAAGGUAAACCGAUUCUAGGUCUAAUUGACCAGCCUGUUCUAAGAGAGAGGUGGAUAGGACUGAGUGGAAGAAGAACUAAAUUAAAUGGGGAGGAUAUCUCAACACGAUCUUGUCCAAAAUUAUCACAAGCAUAUCUAUACACCACUAGCCCACAUCUAUUCAGUGGAGAGGCAGAAAAGGCAUAUGCUCGAGUUAGAGACAAGGUGAAGAUGCCAUUAUACGGUUGUGAUUGCUAUGCUUAUGCUCUCCUGGCUUCUGGAUUUGUCGAUCUUGUUAUUGAAUCCGGUCUAAAGCCGUAUGAUUUCCUUGCUCUGGUGCCUGUAAUAGAAGGCGCUGGAGGUACUAUAACCGAUUGGAACGGUAAACCAUUCAUGUGGGAAGCUUCAUCCAGUGCAGUUGCCACAAGCUUUAAUGUAGUUGCAGCAGGAGAUAGAGACAUUCAUCAGCAAGCUUUGGAGUCACUCGAGUGGCAGUGAAAAGCCUUCGCUGUGGGUUGGCUUUUGACAUGGGAGAGCUAAGAAGCAACCUUCCCAAAAAGAGAGGAUUAUCAAGGUACUAUUCAGGGAAAGCAAGAUCAUUCAUUUGCAUCUCAGAUGUUAAAUGCCUUGAAGAUCUCAAGAAACCAACCCAGACUUUUGAUGCUGAUGAUGAUGAUGAUGAGGUUUACAAGAAGAGGAAGAAGAAGAACAGGCAAUCAUCCUCAUCUUCAUUCUCUGCUGCUGUUAACAGCAAUGUGAAUUUCUCCAACUACCCUUGUCGUAGAGUCUCUAGUAGCACCCAUUGUUCCUCUCCUUGUGUUGGUGCUUAGGAAAUAAAGAAGGAAACACUUUCUCAAUUUAUCAAAAUCCUCACUACAGUCCCCUCUGGUUUUAUUCCAAACACAAACUUCAGUGUGUGGGUGCGCCAUUCACAUUUAUUUUUGUUAUUUUCUUGGCUGUUUCAAAAUGUUUUUUUUGUUGUGGUUAUCUUUUUCACUUGCGCAAAUUAUGUUAGAUAUGGAUGUGUUUGUUCCAAUUU